rnacentral:rRNA from 1 species
UCCGUAGGUGGCAAGCGUUGUCCGGAUUUACUGGGCGUAAAGCGCGCGCAGGCGUUCGAUCAAGUCGAGUGUGAAAGCCCCCGGCUCAACUGGGGAGGGUCAUUCGAUACUGAUCGACUCGAAGGCAGGAGAGGGUAGUGGAAUUCCCGGUGUAGUGGUGAAAUGCGUAGAUAUCGGGAGGAACACCAGUGGCGAAGGCGACUACCUGGCCUGUUCUUGACGCUGAGGCGCGAAAGCUAGGGGAGCAAACGGG